GUGACAUAGUGGUGCAAGUUAUGUAAGAGCAGCAGAAGUGUUGUGAACCUUACUGAUCUGUGUUAACUCUUUCCUCCCCACUCAUCUCUCUCUCUCUCUCUAUCUCUCUAUCUCUCUCUCUGUUCUCUGUCGAAUUUUAACUAUGUCGAUUAUAAUUUAGGACAAUAUGAAAAUAUCUGACUUCUUUUAUUAUCUCAUUCUCCUGUUCACUACAUUCAAAUACCAACUGCUUGGGGAAAAAGUUAAUCACUGCUGAUACUAGAGAUGUGCCCCUCCAUGCCGUUCCAGUGUCACUCACAACUUUGCAGUGCAAACCACUGAGAGAAUAUACCACUUGACUCUCUGAUUAAAACCAGAUCCAUUACUGUAGACAAUGGGACAAGAUUGGAAGCUGUAUUGGCAUACAACAGUGCAACAGUGCAUUCUGAGGACAUCCCAUUAUUUUUGAAGAUCUACCACAUUUUUGGAGUUUUGGGUAGCUGGUAUUUAUGUGGGAAAAUGCUAAGACCCUCCAGCUUUAACAGCCACCUACACUGCUACCUUGUAGAGAAAGAUUCUCUUUGGGAAGUAGUGUUGCCUGGUGAAGAACUUGCUUUCCAUGGGCUGGAUUCAUACACCAACUCAGACGGAAGACUCACUGUUUCUGUACGACAUUGCAUAUAAAGGUUGUUGUAAUUUGGGAACUUUUGGUGUAUGGUUUUCAGACCAUAAUCAAUUGUGGUUUUGACAUUUAAUGGCAAGCUGUUUGUUGCGGAACUGUGUAUACUCUUGUCAUUUGCAGAGCACUUUAUUCCCUGAGUUUUCCCUGAGGAUGCAUUGAGAUAUUGGAACCCUCGAUUAACACACAAGUAAAACUAACUCACCCGUUUAAAAGGAGAAGAUACCCUCACAGUAACCGACAGCUCUCAGGAAACAACCCCUUCAGCACAGACUUAUUUUAUUCAACUACCAGUGUUUCCAACUCUCCUGAAAUGAAAGCUAAUGGAGGAAAGUCCAGGCUUUCAUAUUGCUGCCUACAGAUCAAAGUGGAGGUCCUAGAUCAUACAAGUCCUAUUUGAUUCAAUUUGUAUGUAUACAUGAUGACAAAGUUGGCCUUCAAAUACUGCAACACAGGCUUCAUCUCAAGCUGACCUAUUCCCUCCAAAAUGUUGUGCAUAACAUCGACAGAGAAAUUUUCAGAGGUAUUAAAGUACUGUAAAGUAUUCAGUAAACAAUGCUAUACUAUAACAAUAUUCUGUACUGUUACGGGCUCGCCUGUUACUGCCUCCUGCUGGGCUGUUCUUGUUUGUGUCGCAGGUUGGGAGUUGUGCAGGUGUCCCGGUCAAGUGCCCCAAUCGACUUGAUGGACCUGCACCUAUAUAGGGCUACCUCGCAGGGGCAGGGGCUCUCUCUCCAGGCGUUGCUGCUGUUGGAUUAUUAAUUACACUUGACUGACUCGCAGCACAUUCGAUGCUUCUCACCACUGCAUUUAUAUUG